CACGUCUUAUCUCCCCAUAAUGAGAGUGCAUCUGGACCCUGGCAUGGGGAUGCUGCACAAGCAGAGGGACAGUGGGCCUCCCCAGCAAGGUAGCACCUGCAGCCAGCCCCCACUGUGGGCUCUCUGAAGAUUCCCCAUCAUCACACACAAGCACCUCCCUCGGCCCCACUUUAGAAAAAGUGAACUCCAGGAAGCGAGCAGGUGCCUGCUUCGCCACAGCUCCACACUGACCUUCUCCAGGGGUUUUCCUUUUAUUCCUUCUCCUCCGAAGGCCACAGCCCAAGAGGCACAGAGAUGUCUGGGUACCUGACCCUUCUCUUAGCAGCUGCUCUGGUUCCUGCUGGCCAGACUUCCAUCAUCCUGGAACAGAAGGCUAUCUCCAUAACUCGCAAUGUAGAUGGAUCUGCAGCCUUGAUCUGUGAGAUUUCCAGUCCGCAGUUCGAUAAUGUCCACUGGUACCGUUACCAGGAGGGGAAAGCCCCGCAACGCCUGCUCCGCUAUUCCAUGACCAAGUCUGAGUCCGUACCGGAUCCGGGAUUCAGCUCUGAAAAAAUCAGAGCUUAUAAGGGAAAGGACAACAGCUGCCGACUAAUACUGAGUCAGCUACAAGUGAGUGACUCUGGGAUGUAUCACUGUGCUAUCUGGGACGGACCACAGCAGCACAGCUCUCCCCAACUCCUGGACGAAACAUGUCACAUGAAGUAGCUGAGGUUUCUAGCUGGGAAGCAAGCCUUACUUCAGGAGAGACUGGACACCACUGAGCCCUCACGUGGAUUGAGACAACCAUGAAGCCCCAGAAAUGUCCCCAAACCAAAGAACUUGGGUCAAGUCUUUCAGAGGUCAGUAGAAUCCCACUCCUUCCUCUACU